rnacentral:rRNA from 1 species
GAUGAACGCUGGCUACAGGCUUAACACAUGCAAGUCGAGGGGAAACGACGGGGAAGCUUGCUUCCUUGGGCGUCGACCGGCGCACGGGUGAGUAACGCGUAUCCAACCUGCCUCUGACUGAGGGAUAACCCGUCGAAAGUCGGCCUAAUACCUCAUGGCAUCGUCUGCGGGCAUCCAACGACGAUUAAAGAUUUCAUCGGUCAGGGAUGGGGAUGCGUCUGAUUAGCUUGUUGGCGGGGUAACGGCCCACCAAGGCUACGAUCAGUAGGGGUUCUGAGAGGAAGGUCCCCCACAUUGGAACUGAGACACGGUCCAAACUCCUACGGGAGGCAGCAGUGAGGAAUAUUGGUCAAUGGGCGAGAGCCUGAACCAGCCAAGUAGCGUGCAGGAAGACGGCCCUAUGGGUUGUAAACUGCUUUUAUGCGGGGAUAAAGUGAGGGACGUGUCCUUCAUUGCAGGUACCGCAUGAAUAAG